UACGUAGGGCGCAAGCGUUAUCCGGAAUUAUUGGGCGUAAAGAGCUCGUAGGCGGUUUGAUAAGCCGGGUGUGAAACCUCCAAGCUCAACUUGGAGCGGCCACUCGGAACUGUCAUGACUUGAGUCAGGUAGGGGAACACGGAAUUCCAGGUGUAGCGGUGAAAUGCUUAGAUAUCUGGAGGAACACCAGUGGCGAAGGCGGUGUUCUGGGCCUGUACUGACGCUGAUGCGCGAAAGCGUGGGGAGCGAACAGG
rnacentral:rRNA from 1 species